rnacentral:rRNA from 1 species
UACAGGGGGGGGGCAAGCGUUGUUUCGGAAUUACUGGGCGUAAAGGGUGCGUAGGCGGCUUUCUAAGUUGGAUGUGAAAACUCUGGGCUCAACCCAGAGCCUGCAUCCAAAACUGGAGAGCUAGGGGUUCUGGAGGGGAAAGCGGAAUUCCUAGUGUAGCGGUGAAAUGCGCAGAUAUUAGGAGGAACACCGGGUGGCGAAGGCGCCGCUCUCGGGCC